rnacentral:rRNA from 1 species
AUGUUCACCGCCGAAGAGGGAAGACGAAGAUACCACCGUAUCAGGAAGGAAAAAAAUCCCUACGGUCUAGCAUCCAAGAUGUGUUCCGUGAUGCGUUCUUGUCACUUUACCAUGCCUGAACGAACGAGUCAUUUCUGUCAUGCCAGUACAUGGGGUUUUGCAACUAAGAGCAACUCUAGCAGACCCCGCAUCCUGCUCCGGCUUGUAAAAUAA